GGAACAUCUCUUCAGUCAGCAGCAUCCCCUGAACGGCAGCAACUGGAGUGCCCCGAGAGUCCACCACUUCCCGUGAUUGUCUGUGCAUGCUCAUUACAGCCGAAUCAUGAGUCAGGCAGCCCAGAAACUAGGCGUUUUUAUCUGUCCCUUUUCAAUGAAGGUGAUGAAAGUGCCAACAAUGAUCUCUCAUCUGCCCAGGAUUCUCUAGCACAACCUACAGCACAUCUUCCACAAGCAGAAUCCAGUCUGCACGACAACUUUGAGACAGUGAGAGAUUCAGCUAUAAAUAACAACAUGAACCCAGACACUGCCUUGCCAUCUCUCUGCAUCCCUCCCAAUUUUGAAACACCAGGAGAAGCAGAAACCAGCCUUGCAAGCAGCACUAAGAUAAUGCAUUACCCAACUUUACUGGAAAAUGUCAGGGGCCAGGAUACUGUCUCAUCUGACGUAAUUCCUCCCAAUUUUGAAACACCAGGAGAAGCAGAAACCAGCCUUGCAAGCAGCACUAAGAUAAUGCAUUACCCAACUUUACUGGAAAAUGUCAGGGGCCAGGAUACUGUCUCAUCUGACGUAAUUCCUCCCAAUUUUGGUGAGUUUGAAAUGAUAUACAUUGCAAGUAGCACUGUUUCAUCUAGAUUCC
ensembl:lncRNA